rnacentral:rRNA from 1 species
GACAGAGGUGCCAAGCGUUAGGCGGAAUCACUGGGCUUAAAGCGUGUGUAGGCGGAUGUCUAAGUACCUUGUGAAAUCCCACGGCUCAACCGUGGAACUGCUUGGUAUACUGGAUGUCUUGAGCCAGCUAGGGGCUACCGGAACAAAUGGUGGAGCGGUGAAAUGCGUAGAUAUCAUUUGGAACGCCAAUGGUGAAAACAGGUAGCUGGGGCUGUGCUGACGCUGAGACACGAAAGCCAGGGGAGCGAACGGG